UGGUGGAGUGAUUUGUCUGGUUAAUUCCGUUAACGAACGAGACCUCGUCCUGCUAAAUAGUUGAUGAUACUCUUUGGGUAACGUCGGCUUCUUAGAGGGACUAUCGGUUACUAGCCGAUGGAAGUUCGAGGCAAUAACA
rnacentral:rRNA from 1 species